GAAGAACUUUAAGACUUGAGUUAUUGUGUCAUAAAAGCUUAGCCUACAAGCUCCUUAGUUGUAAUAUUAUUUUACAUUUUUUUAAUAGGUGAGCAAAACUCCAUGAAUUUUUGUUGUGUAUUAGGCUGUAAAUGGGAGUCAUGGCUAUGUAAAUCAAACUGACAAGAGCUGUGGAUGAGUGGAGAAGAGAUGGACAUGCAACAUGUAAUUUUCAGCUGUGAAUCUGAUAUCUCUCUGAAAUGGAAAAACAGGAAAAGGGAACAAAAUGGGAAAACCAAUCAGGGAAAUGGAAAGUGUUACAAAUGGAGAAGCACAGCCCCUUUGAAGUGCCCUUGAGGG
rnacentral:lncRNA from 1 species